rnacentral:rRNA from 1 species
UUUAAUUGAAGAGUUUGAUCAUGGCUCAGAUUGAACGCUGGCGGCAGGCCUAACACAUGCAAGUCGAGCGGUAACAGAAAGUAGCUUGCUACUUUGCUGACGAGCGGCGGACGGGUGAGUAAUGCUUGGGAACAUGCCUUUAGGUGGGGGACAACAGUUGGAAACGACUGCUAAUACCGCAUAACGUCUACGGACCAAAGGGGGCUUCGGCUCUCGCCUAAAGAUUGGCCCAAGUGGGAUUAGCUAGUUGGUGAGGUAAUGGCUCACCAAGGCAACGAUCCCUAGCUGGUUUGAGAGGAUGAUCAGCCACACUGGAACUGAGACACGGUCCAGACUCCUACGGGAGGCAGCAGUGGGGAAUAUUGCACAAUGGGCGAAAGCCUGAUGCAGCCAUGCCGCGUGUGUGAAGAAGGCCUUCGGGUUGUAAAGCACUUUCAGUCAGGAGGAAAGGUUA